rfam:Echinostoma caproni strain Egypt genome assembly, scaffold: ECPE_contig0001851
GCACUGCUGACGAGUCCCAAACAAGACGAAGCGGCUGUCCAGUGC